UUCUCUUUAUAAGAUAGAGGAAAUAUGCAAUUAGGCUAAUGUGUAAUAGUAACGGUUUAAUACAAAGAAACACGUGACUGAGGUCGAACUGAAGUGAUUUUGUAACAGUGAUCUCAGAGAGAUAGCGAGAUGGUACCGAUAGAGGACGGUCGUGGAGAAAAACAGCUUCCCUUGCAGUCUGACUCAAACUGACUCACUAUUUAAACGUUAGCAAAAUCUCCUGUGGCUUCGUGAUUGUUCUCGUAGGCGGAGAGCUGACGUGCUCCAUUCACAGAUCAAUUGCCUGUGCCACCUCACGAAUCAACACAUUUGUCCAGCAGCUGAAAGCAGCUACCUGUCAGUGUUUUUCUGCCAUCAGAAGCCCACAAGUCUCCAUAAGAUCGCUGAACUUACGCAUUGCCGAUAUAAAUCUUGGGAAAGACCUCGUUGAAAUGUUGUGCUGGAAGGCUGUAGAAACCGCUGCCGUUGGACAGCAGCUUGUUGAGUUGUUGUAUGGUCGCCUCGGUGUCUGGCACGGUGACUUCCAGUGGUCCCUUCGCGGGGCUGUGAUGUUUCUUCAUGCUUCAGUCCUCCAGAAGCAAAAAA